rnacentral:misc_RNA from 1 species
GGAAGGAUCAUUAAAAAUUGUGGGAUACAACUUUGUGCAAGAGAUGACUAUAUAAUUAAUGUUGAUAUUAAUACGAUAUACAACUUUUAGCAACGGAUCUCUAGGUUCUCGCAACGAUGAAGAACGCAGCGAAUUGCGAAAAGUAAUGUGAAUUGCAUAAUUCCGUGAAUCAUCAAAUCUUUGAACGCACCUUGCGCUAGCUGGAAUUCCGGCUAGCAUACCUGUUUGAGUAUCAUAAUACAAUCACCAUAUGGGUGGACAUGGGCGUCGUAUUUAUACCCGCCUUAAAUUUAAAGAGUAUAACAACAUGGUACACAAUAGAGCCAAAUUGACUAUUGGUACAAUACUAAAGACAUUGAUCUCAAAUCAGGUGGGAUUACCCGCUGAACUUAAGCAUAUUAAUAAGCGGAGGAAAAGAAACUAACAAGGAUUCCCCUAGUAACGGCGAGUGAAGCGGGAAUAGCUCAAAUUUAAAAUCCUUUAUUGGAAUUGUAGUUUAUGAAAGCGUUAUCGAUGAAGGCCUGGGUACAAGUUCUUUGGAACAAGGCAUCAUAGAGGGUGAGAAUCCCGUCUUUGACCUGGAUACCUUUACACUACGAUGCGUCUUUUAAGAGUCGGGUUGUUUGGGAUUGCAGCCCUAAAUUGGUGGUAUAUUCCAUCUAAAGCUAAAUAUUGGCGAGAGACCGAUAGCAAACAAGUACCGUGAGGGAAAGAUGAAAAGAACUUUGAAAAGAGAGUUAAAAGUACGUGAAAUUGCUAAAAGGGAAACAUUUGACACCAGUAUUUGGGGGUAGGAAAUCAGCCUUCGGGUGCACUUUCCUACUUCCAGGUCAACAUCAGUUAUUGAUGGGGUAAAAAAUCCUAAUGUAUUCUCUUUGGAGAAUAUUUGGACCAUACCCUGAGAGUGACUGAGGACCGCGGUACAUGCCAUUGGCUGGGAUACUUGCAGUUGGUUAGGACAGUGUCUUUGACAGCUUGCUGACCAAGAUACUCUACCUUUCCAAUCUGUAAACUAUCAACAAAUGUACCUAGGAUGUUGACGAAAUGGUUUUAAAUGACCCGUCUUGAAACACGGACCAAGGAGUCUAACAUAUAUGCGAGUAUUUGGGUGGCAAGCCCAUAUGCGUAAUGAAAGUGACAAGUGUGAGGGCUUUAAACCUGCAACAUUGACCGAUCUAUCGAUUUGAGUUGGAGCAUACAUGUUGGGACCCGAAAGAUGGUGAACUAUACCUGAUUAGGCCGAAGCCAGAGGAAACUCUGGUGGAGGGUCGUAGCGAUUCUGACGUGCAAAUCGAUCGUCAAAAUUGGGUAUAGGGGCGAAAGACUAAUCGAACCGUCUAAUGGCUGGUUCCCUC